rnacentral:siRNA from 1 species
GCUCAAUUGGUAAAGACCCUAGGC